rnacentral:rRNA from 1 species
GCAGCCUGCAACUCGGCUGCAUGAAGCCGGAAUCGCUAGUAAUCGCGGAUCAGAAUGCCGCGGUGAAUACGUUCCCGGGUCUUGUACACACCGCCCGUCACACCAUGGGAGCCGGGAAUGCCCGAAGUCAGUGGCCUAACCGCAAGGGGGGAGCUGCCGAAGGCAGGCCCGGUGACUGGGGUGAAGUCGUAACAAGGUAGC